AAGGGCGACAAAAGUGAUCCGCUCGAACGUGCCCUCUUGGGGACUGGGCAGCACAAGUUAACAAUGCAGUGUGUGCAUGCUCGGUCGCUCGUUUGUUGACUGAGUGGCAUGACAAAAGAUGCAUUACCUCUCCCUGCUGUGGAGUUUGUGUAAUGAGUGAUCUGAUUGAAUCGCGGGUGUCCAGGAAACGACUAGUAGCAUAGAUUAUAUAUUUGGGGAAACUCUAAUGAUAGCUAAACAGUAAACAUUUAGCCAGUCAUAGCUAGCUAUUUAGCUAUGACUAUUUAAUAUAUUUGCUGAGUGUUAUGCUUGUGUUUGAAUGCAAUCUCUGUGUAUAUGCAUUUACACAAUUUCUUCUGUUACACAGCUGUCAAUCGAAAACGUAUGCACGCACUGGUUGCCAAGUCGUUUGGGCUGUCUUCUCAGUCAGUGGCUUUUUUUGCUACCUCAAGUCUACACUACAUAUAUGUCAAGUUUGUAUUCGUAGCUAAUGACAGUUUAUACAUUUCUUUCAGACAUUGAUUCUUCAGCCACAUGACAUAAAUUGUCUGGUUGCCAGAUCCAAAUGUUAUGUAAAGAUUGGAGAUUCUGAUAAUGCAUUGAGGGACGCAGCUGCCUCUCUCAAAGAGGACAAAUAAUUCUUAAAGGGUUUGUAUCAGAAAGUGGAAGCUUUAUACACCAUGGGAGACUUUGAAUUUGCCCUGGUGUUUUACCACAGGGGGCACAAACAGUGGCCAGAGCUGCAGGAAUUUAGACUGGGAAUCCAGAAGGCCCAAGAGGCUAUCGACAACUCUGUGGGCUGCCCCUCCUCGUCUGUGAAACUGGAAAACAAGGGCGACCUGUCCUUCUUCCACAAGGCCGAUGAGGGGAAGAAGGGACGGCCGAAGGGGCUGAUUCACCCCCUGAGAAGGGAGAUGAGGCAGCAGAACAAGAAGACGCCUAAGAGUGAGAAGACAACCAAGCAGCUUCUGGGACAGCUCUACAGCGAUAAGGAGAAGCGACUGAAAUAUGAAGAAGCCCAUCUAUGCGCGGGAGAGAGACCGCAAGCUCAUGCAGCAGAAGUGGAACAAGACCCGGCAGAACCCUCCCUCUGAUCCCACCCGUUUUGUACUCAAGAGCCUGGAAGAGAUUGAUGCUGAUAAGACAGAACAGACCCAAGGAUGAAUAUGGUAGUUUGAUGCUUAUCAAUACAUCCUGGUCAACGGUAAACUCUUAUUAGCAUGUAUUGGGGGCAUGAUCUUUGGUACAUCUUUCUCACUCAUCAUUAUUCACGAUUCAUUCAUGGUUAUCCUUAAUCAUGGUAUCAUUCAUAUUAAUGUAGGAGUGUUCAGAAACAUUCUGUUCUUAUUUACAAUCAGUGACUCCAAAAUGACACAAUACAUUAUUUACCAUUCAUUUCUAUUGGGCACAACAUAACCAAAACAAACAGCAAAUGCAUCCAACAAGUCUGUAGAGUCACAAGCUUGAUGUCGUCAUUGCGUACUAUGAAUAUGGGACCAAAUACUACGCGUUUGACUCCAUUUAAUACACUAAGUGAGUUUGUCCAAAUACUUGACACAUUCAAACGAGGGGACUAGAUAUAUAAAGUGCAUUUAUAACUAAAAGGUAAAACAGAUAUGUAUGAAAAUAACCUCAAAUAAAAAGGUGACAUUCUGUACUGUCGGCUCAUAAAGCAGUUGAUCUCAGGUCCAAAAUGCUGGAGUACAGAGCCAAAUUAAGAGUUUUAGCUUCACUAUCCAAAUAAACACAUAGGGGAGCGUAUGUGAUUUUUCUAACGUCCCACAUUUCAAAUCAAGUGCUUUUCACACACUGCAUCUUGUUGUUUUAACAGUGUUUUUUUCCUCUUUCUUUGUUGUCCAACAGCAAACCCCCAGACGCAAAGUCAAGGGCACUUGAUAAUGUUGGCCAAGUGUACGCCAGAAUAGGAAAGUUCCCACAGGCUAUUGAUGCAUCGGUGGAAACUCAAACUGGGAGGAAAAGAUCCCGCUGGCCAAUGGCGGCCCGGGACUACGGCGUUCGCUCACUCGCAGUGAAGCUUGUCAACUUUAAAUCCGGUGUUGCGCACUUUGAAAGAGCUUUGGACAGGGCUACGGUUCUCCAGGAUGACCCUGCUAGGGAUGCCAUCCAGAAGGUUACCUGAGCAUCCUUGUCAAUUCAUGUCACUUCUUUCCUAUUGUCAAAUCACAAUGGCUCACUGAUACAAUAUUUGAUGCCCUUAUUUAAGCUCUCUGUGAGACAAGGCAAUGUUUAUGAGCGCUCAUCAGAAGAUGGCUGAAGAGUAGCCACAGACAUGGUCAAGGACAAUGUAAUAAAAACGGUCUUUUAAACAUGCUUCUCCGACCUCCACUUGAGUUUUUGUUGUAUACUUUUAUUUGCUUUGCUUAUUUAUGUAUAGAACAAUUGCACACAUACAAAAUGUACAUACCCCUUACAGAAUAAACUUAGGAGAUACAGCUGAGGAAAGGACUUCACUUGGGUGGGAACAAAAUUGAAUUAUGCUAUGAUGUAUUACUUUGAAAAUGUAUUAUUCGUCUACACAGGAAUUCAAUCACUACAGCUGUAUAGUAUAAGUUGAUGUCUUCCUUUUCAUUGAUGUGUUUCCUGUAGUACUGCAACACAUGCGCGUUUCCAAUGUAAUGUUUUGUAGUGUCUCAUUAAUAAAGCGAUUUGUUAAGCCUUG